GGGCGUGUGGUCUAGUGGUAUGAUUCUCGCUUUGGGCGACUUCCUGCCAAAACAGGAAGACAAAGCAUGCAGAGGCCCUGGGUUCAAUUCCCAGCUCGCCCC
rnacentral:tRNA from 1 species